CUUGAGGAAACCUGUCCCUAGUACGAGAGGACCGGGACGGACGAACCUCUGGUGCACCAGUUGUCCCGCCAGGGGCACCGCUGGAUAGCCACGUUCGGUCAGGAUAACCGCUGAAAGCAUCUAAGCGGGAAACCUUCUCCAAGAUCAGGUUUCUCACCCACUUGGUGGGAUAAGGCCCCCCGCAGAACACGGGUUCAAUAGGUCAGACCUGGAAGCUCAGUAAUGGGUGUAGGGAACUGGUGCUAACCGGCCGAAAACUUACAACACCC
rnacentral:rRNA from 1 species